UUACAAGACAGUGUGUUGACACACUCUCAACACUCCAAAAACCCAUUCUCUCUCUCCCCCCACAUACGAACAAAUCUACACUCCCAGUCACACUCACCCC